rnacentral:lncRNA from 1 species
CUGCUAUGAACAUAGUGGAGCAUGUGUCCUUCAUACCAGUUGGAACAUCUUCUGGAUAUAUGCCCAGGAGAGUUACUGCGGGAUUCUCCUGAUGCGGGAGACAUCAUCUUUUAAAACAUGGGUCAAGAAUGAUGUGAUUUAAGCCCACGGGCAGAAUAAAGGAAGGAAACUUUUAAUAUUCUUCCUCUUCAAUCAAAAUUCACAUAUCAAGAUCAAUGACUACAGUGGCCCAAGUUGAUCCUAUAAUUAAUAUACCUUGUUCCGGAAAUCUUAGAUUUUUUUCCUUUUAAAAUUGCCCCCUUUUUUUGUCCUAUUUCUAAAUAAUAAACUUAACUGCUGAC